rnacentral:rRNA from 1 species
GACGAACCGUCCAAACGUUGUUCGGAAUCACUGGGCUUAAAGGGCGCGUAGGCGGGCAGCCAAGUCCGGGGUGAAAGCCCUCAGCUCAACUGGGGAAGUGCCUUGGAAACUGGCUAUCUCGAGGGAGGUAGGGGCCUGUGGAACUUCGGGUGGAGCGGUGAAAUGCGUUGAUAUCCGAAGGAACGCCGGUGGCGAAAGCGACGGGCUGGAUCUCUUCUGACGCUGAGGCGCGAAAGCUAGGGUAGCGAACGGG